CUACGGGCCGCUCCAGUGGGGGAUAUUGCACAAUGGAGGAAACUCUGAUGCAGCAACGCCGCGUGAGGGAAGAAGGUCUUCGGAUUGUAAACCUAAGUAGUCAGGGACGAUAAUGACGGUACCUGAAGAGUAAGCUCCGGCUAACUACGUGCCAGCAGCCGCGGUAAUACGUAGGGAGCGAGCGUUAUCCGGAUUUACUGGGUGUAAAGGGUGCGUAGGUGGGUUUGCAAGUCAGGCGUGAAAUACCGAGGCUCAACUUCGGGGCUGCGCUUGAAACUGUAAAUCUUGAGUGAAGUAGAGGCAAGCGGAAUUCCUAGUGUAGCGGUGAAAUGCGUAGAUAUUAGGAGGAACACCAGUGGCGAAAGCGGCUUGCUGGGCUUUUACUGACGCUGAGGCACGAAAGCAUGGGGAGCAAACAGGAUUAGAUACCCUGGUAGUC
rnacentral:rRNA from 1 species